rnacentral:lncRNA from 1 species
UCUCGUGAAACAGUCAUUUUCCUUCCUGGACAGCAACGACUCGCCUGGACAGUGCCGAUCUCCAGGUCGGGCAUCACCCACUCGGUAGCAGCCACAGGGGGCAGGCUCGCUCCUCCUUCCCUGGCAGCAGGUGUGAUUUGGGGAGAAAUCUCCAGCAAUCCUUAUUUUCAUCCUUUCACAGGAGUCAUUUCCCCAACAAAACUCCUUUUUCGACUUUGCCUGACCUCCGGGGGGGUGGGGGGGGGAGGUGGUACUUUUAUAUUCGCCUUCGCAUCCUCCCUCAAUAGCCUGGUUUUCAUUUCCUGUGCUGAUGCUCUUCCAUAUGCAAUGACAUCCUGGAGGGAAAUGGAAGUAAAGAAGGAAGAAAAAAGGGAAAAAAGGAAAUAGAGACAGCAGCCCAUGGUAACUCUAAUUUAUGUGUGAAUUCCACCAUAUUAUGAAGAUAUUGAGCAGGGAAAGAAGAGAAGAACGAGAAGGAGCAAAGGAGAAAGAGCCAAUGAAGAAGAGAUGAUAAUGUAGUGAAUAGUGUGAGAAACAUAAAGUUGGAAAGACUUAAAAUGUAUUAAUUCUAUUAUACUGGGUAAGUUCGUUGAACUCUUUAUAAUUAAAACAGAUGUAAUAAUAGAAGCUAAAUCACAAUAUUGCUGUGAUUAUCAAAUUAAAAAUACGGAGUAAAGUUCAUUGCACAUCUUAAAAUAAUAUAUAAAUGUUAGCUAUAAAAAGAAGAGAAAGGAUAAAAAAAGACAGGAAGAGAAUGAGAAGUAGGAAAAGUCAGGGGGGAUUUACAUGUUUUCAAGUACAUAUAUUCUUUUGAUUUGUUUUCACAGCAAGGUUAUUGGGGAGAUACAAUAGAUUUUAUUAGCCCCAUUUUAGAGGUAAGGAAGGUGAGCUUCACAGUGGUUAAAUGACUGUCACAUGGUCAUAUUGUCAGUAAUUAUCAGAGGUAUGAUUCAAC